UGCUAGUGAGACAGGAAUAACAUUCUAACCAGAGAUAACCUUCCCAACUUGGGUUGAUUCUAUGAAAACUAUUUCAUGUGUUGAUCGAAUCGUCGGCGCUGUCAUGGCGGGUGUGCUGAAAGCCACUGGCUUUGUGGGAUUGGCUGUGUGCAAUACUCCACAUGAGAGGCUAAGAAUAUUGUACACAAAGAUUCUUGAUGUUCUUGAGGAAAUCCCUAAAAAUGCAGCAUAUAGAAAGUAUACAGAACAGAUUACAAAAGAGAAGCUGGCUAUGGUUAAAGCGGAACCAGAUGUUAAAAAAUUUGAAGACCAACUUCAAGGUGGUCAAUUAGAAGAGGUGAUUCUUCAGGCUGAACAUGAACUGAAUCUGGCAAGAAAAAUGAGGGAGUGGAAACCAUGGGAGCCAUUAGUGGAAAAGCCUCCUGCCGAUCAGUGGAAAUGGCCAAUAUAAUUAUUAAGUGACUUUGGUGUGUUGAUGGGAAACUGAUGUAAUUAAAUAUUCUGUUAUAUUAAGGGCAUGUUCAUAUUACUGACAUUUUAUAAUCAAGAAAAGUGAUAUAGCAAAUAUGUAGGAGACUGUUAAAAUUGGUGAUUAUGGUAAUAUGGUCAUGUGAAUCCAUGUUUGAUUUAUAAAGUAUUCACACAAGUUAUUUCAAAGAUGAUAUUUCUAUGAACAGAGAGGUCAUGGGAAGAUUUGAAAAUUAUUAAAGAAAAAUUCCUAC